rnacentral:rRNA from 1 species
UUGCCCUAGUAACUGGCGAGUGAAGCGGCAACAGCUCAAAUUUGAAAUCUGGCUCUCUUUGGGGGUCCGAGUUGUAAUUUGCAGAGGAUGCUUUGGCAUUGGCGGCGGUCUAAGUUCCUUGGAACAGGACAUCACAGAGGGUGAGAAUCCCGUACGUGGUCGCCUGCCUUUGCCGUGUAAAGCUCCUUCGACGAGUCGAGUUGUUUGGGAAUGCAGCUCUAAAUGGGAGGUAAAUUUCUUCUAAAGCUAAAUACUGGCCAGAGACCGAUAGCGCACAAGUAGAGUGAUCGAAAGAUGAAAAGUACUUUGGAAAGAGAGUCAAAAAGCACGUGAAAUUGUUGAAAGGGAAGCGCUUGCAGCCAGACUUGCCCGCAGUUGCUCACCUAGGCUUUUGCCUGGGGCAUUCUUCUGCGGGCAGGCCAGCAUCAGUUUGGGCGGUUGGAUAAAGGCCUCUGUCACGUAUCUCCUUUCGGGGAGACCUUAUAGGGGAGGCGUAAUGCAACCAGCCCGGACUGAGGUCCGCGCAUCUGCUAGGAUGCUGGCGUAAUGGCUGUAAGCGGCCCGUCUUGAAACACGGACCAAGGAGUCUAACAUCUAUGCGAGUGUUUGGGUGUCAAGCCCGAGCGCGUAAUGAAAGUGAACGGAGGUGGGAACCUUUUAGGUGCACCAUCGACCGAUCCUGAUGUCUUCGGAUGGAUUUGAGUAAGAGCAUAGCUGUUGGGACCCGAAAGAUGGUGAACUAUGCUUGAAUAGGGUGAAGCCAGAGGAAACUCUGGUGGAGGCUCGCAGCGGUUCUGACGUGCAAAUCGAUCGUCAAAUUUGGGCAUAGGGGCGAAAGACUAAUCGAA